GGGCAUGUGGUGUAGAUGGUUAUCACGCCCGCUUAGCAUGAGUUGCAUUGACUUUGGUUAUCUGCGGGCGGUCCCCGGUUCAAUUCCGGGUGUGUCCA